rnacentral:rRNA from 1 species
UACGAAGGGGCUAGCGUUGUUCGGAAUUACUGGGCGUAAAGGGCGCGUAGGCGGUGUGUCAAGUCAGGCGUGAAAGCCCGGGCUCAACCUGGGAACAGCGCUUGAGACUGGCACGCUCGAGUUCGGGAGAGGAUGGUGGAAUUCCCAGUGUAGAGGUGAAAUUCGUAGAUAUUGGGAAGAACACCGAUGGCGAAGGCAGCCAUCUGGACCGACACUGACGCUGAGGCGCGAAAGCGUGGGGAGC